rnacentral:rRNA from 1 species
CCUACGGGAGGCAGCAGUGGGGAAUAUUGCACAAUGGGGGAAACCCUGAUGCAGCGACGCCGCGUGAGUGAAGAAGGAUUUCGGUAUGUAAAGCUCUAUCAGCAGGGAAGAAAAUGACGGUACCUGAUUAAGAAGCCCCGGCUAACUACGGGCCAGCAGCCGCGGGAAUACGGAGGGGGCAAGCGUGAUCCGGAUGUACUGGGUGUAAAGGGAGCGUAGACGGCAGCACAAGUCUGGAGUGAAAUGCCGGGGCUUAACCCCGGAACUGCUUUGGAAACUGUGCAGCUAGAGUGCAGGAGAGGUGAGUGGAAUGCCUGGUGUAGCGGUGAAAUGCGUAGAUAUCAGGAGGAACACCAGUGGCGAAGGCGGCUUACUGGACUGUAACUGACGUUGAGGCUCGAAAGCGUGGGGAGCAAACAGGAUUAGAUACCCGGGUAGUC